rnacentral:rRNA from 1 species
GACGAACGCUGGCGGCGUGCUUAACACAUGCAAGUCGAACGGAAAGGCCUGCUUUCCCUUGUGGAUUGCGGGUACUCGAGUGGCGAACGGGUGAGUAACACGUGAGUGAUCUGCCCCCAACUUGGGUAUAAGCCUGGGAAACUGGGUCUAAUUCCCGAUAGGACUGCAGGGUGGUGCCUGUGGUGGAAAACGAUUUUCUAGUGGUUGGGGAUGAGCUCGCGGCCUAUCAGCUUGUUGGUGGGGUAAUGGCCUACCAAGGCGGCGACGGGUAGCCGGCCUGGGAGAGUGGACGGCCACAUUGGGACUGAGAGACGGCCCAGACUCCUACGGGAGGCAGCAGUGGGGAAUAUUGCACAAUGGGCGGAAGCCUGAUGCAGCGACGCCGCGUGGGGGAUGACGGCCUUCGGGUUGUAAACUCCUUUCGACCGCGAGGAAGCCACCUGGUUGGAAGGGUGGUGACGGUAGUGGUAGAAGAAGCACCGGCUAACUACGUG